CCUACCUCCUUUUUUUAACAAUCAUUUCUACCAUAGGAGAGAGAGGUUUACCUAACCGCCUCUCUCUCUCUCUUUCUCUCCAUAUCUCAUGUUAUGUUCUUCUUCCUCUUGAUUUUUAGUUAUAAAUCUUCACCUGUCACCAUCUUCGGUCGGAUUGUGGUUGUACUCGACGCUCUGCUACGACUCGGACGCAAACUGUUGCCGGAUUCUCCCGUGAAAGAAACAUACACUCCGUUUCUCAUCGUCUUACCUCCAAUUUGUUGUUACUUUGAUUUUGAUUGAGUGUUUAUUUGCUUUUGAUUUAGUGUUUUUUUGGUUGAAUUGCAUCUGCAAUAAGUUCAACAUUAUUGGCAUGGUGGGCUGGGGGAAGUGGAAGGUGAUGGGUUGGGGAGGUGGAAGGUGGGGAGGUGGAAGGUGAUGGGUUGGGGAGGUGGAAGGUGGGGUACACAGGUACAACUCACUCAUUUCUUUCUUUAUAGCCAUCCGAUUUGGUAGGCUAUAUUUUUGUAGCCUAUUAGUGUUGCUAACCUUUGUUAUUUUACUUCCAAAAUCUGCCAUUUUUCGUUACCAAUUUGUAAUACAUAGUGACAGGGUGUUUGUAUGUGAAUAUGAGGUGGGGAAUCUAGAGUUCUACAGGAUCUAGGUAAUUCAACAUAUAUGGAAGAAAUGUCGUGAUGUUGGACUACAGGAAAUUUCUUGAGGAUGUUUUUUGGCCAUGUAAACGUUCACGCUAAUUCAAAGGAUUUUCAAUUUAAUGUGAAUGAGGAAUACUAUAGUUUCGGAGGAGAUGAAGACACUGGUGAAGCGUUAUUACUUCGAUUCUUCGUAGGUUCAGGAUACUUUAAUGCAGUGGCGGACCCGGAAAUUAUUUGCUGGGGGUGCGGAGAAGGUGUUCAACCAUAUUUUCAAGGGAUCCGGUCGAGUUUUUUGCCUAAAAUAUACACUAAAUUUUUUUUUUCAAGGGGUGCGGCCGCCCACCCUGGCCAAAGGGUAGGUCCGCCCAUGCUUUAAUGGUCACCAGCAGUGAUUUCUCUUUCUCGCCAGAAUUUAGCAUUGGUCGCUAUUGCAUUCAGCGUCGAACCCGACUGUGGUUAUCAUCUUCUCCAAGUAAAUUGAGUAAAUUGUAAGCAAGGCUUCAACAUCAACGGAUUUGACCAACCCCAUUUGGGAUUUCAUUUAAAGAAUUAUAUGUUCUGCUUACGAUUCAGUUUUGGAUCCGUUUAAUGGUGGUGAUAGAAGGAUUAGAAGCAGCGUGGACAACAUGAAUUAAAUCAGUAGUUGAACGGUGACAUAAACAAUGACGUGUGGCAGCAUCACGAUUUUAUUUAUUUGUUUUUACAUUUUCAGUUGUUAUAACGAGCGUACUGUAACGAAACAGACCGAUAGCGAUCAAAUUUAUGUCGUGGAACGUGGAGAAUCCCGGCGCAACGCGCCGGUCUUCGUACCCCUAGUCACUUUAAUUAUGCAUUUGUCACUAUCCCAUCUUAAUAAUUGACUUACUUUAAUCAAAAGUAAAGAUCCA